UACGGAGGGUGCAAGCGUUAUCCGGAUUUACUGGGUUUAAAGCGUGCGCAGGCGGUUUGCUAAGACAGGUGUGAAAUCCCCGGGCUUAACCUGGGAACUGCGCUUGUUACUGGCAAGCUGGAGUGUGGCAGAGGGGGGUGGAAUUCCACGUGUAGCAGUGAAAUGCGUAGAGAUGUGGAGGAACACCGAUGGCGAAGGCAGCCCCCUGGGCUAACACUGACGCUCAUGCACGAAAGCGUGGGGAGCAAACAGG
rnacentral:rRNA from 1 species